rnacentral:tRNA from 1 species
GGGGAUUUAGCUCAGAGGUAGAGCGCUUGCCUAGCAAGCGCAAGGCCCUGGGUUCAGUUCCCAGCUCCG